UGUCUCGCUGUCAACCACAUGCAAGCUUUCUCCUUGCUUUAGGUGAGAGCAUUUAUUUCAUCGCCUUUUUAGCUUGAUCAGAUUGCAAGUUUGAUAGGUUUCCCUAACCCGGGUUAGGAACCCUUUGAUUUUGGUUCCUUGCUAUAACUCUGUAUGCAAUUUUGUUUCUCUGUCCAUUCUUAGCUACAAAUGCUUAUUUAUAAACAGAUGGAUGCACGGUUCAUUGUAGUCUUGCAGUUUGGAAUACCAAAAAAAGCAUUUGUUUGAGUGGUAUAGCGUUUAGAUGUCAUUUUCUUGUUUGCUGUUUUUAUCGCCUUUUAUUGUCGUGCUAUGAGUUGAUAUGAAUCAGCUAGCUAUUGUCUAAUUGUUGAAAUACCACCCUUUCGAGCAGCCCUUAAACACAGAAUAAGGAAACGAGGAUAUUUCGGAGUCCCAGUUUCACUGCCUUCGUGGAUGCUGGAGCCACUACCACCUUUACUAUGUGUGUGGUUAGGGUAUAGAUCAAACUACAAUUCAACAAUGAUCAUCUACACCAUCAGAUCUGCGACUAUAAAACUCCAUGCUAAUGUUCCAUAUUCCUCUUCUCUGCUAAUUUUUAGAGUUUAUCCUUCUAUGAAUUACCUAAUUUCAGUAACAACUGACAAAUAUCAGUCUAUUUGUUAACAUCUCCAUCUCCAUCAAGGUUUUUAAAUUGACUUAAGAGUAUGUAUGUGCCCCUAUCAUUUUUUUGGUUCGUCAACAGAUGAAGUAAUCAACCGUUCGAAUGAGGGAUUAGGAGUACAUCAUCUAAAAUAUUGUUGUUUCCAGUUAAAUGUGUACCGAUAAAUUUAACUAUCAAAAUCAUUGUACUGAGAAAAAAAUUUGUUCUUAUUUGCAGGCAUUGUGUGGCGAUAAACACAUGACCAGCAAGGGGCCCUGCCCCCUCCCAAUACUAUGGAUUUGUUCAUAAUAAACACAUGAACAGUGCAGCAUUUGACUUGUUUUCUGCUCCAACCGGCCCUCCCCAACAUCCUAAUCCCAUUAAUCCCCUCCUCCACUGCAGGCAUGCCGGCCUUUUCUUAAUUGCUAUACUUUUGAGGACGCAUCACUAAAAAAACUACAAGAGGUACCACAAGUCUGUAAAACCCUUAUUACAUUUUUGCAUAUGUACAGAAGUGAAAAAUAGAAGUGAAUUUAGCUAUAUACUUUGAAAAUUGUAGUGGUUUUGCAUGUCUAAUAAUUUUUUUUGUUAUGAUAUUAUUUUGUUCGCCGGUAUUUAAUCCUUGGGGAUUUUUAUCUUUCCCAUUCAGAGUAGUCCAAUUGAUACUUCCGAUGGACACAUGACAGGUUGGUGAUGAUGUCAUCUAAUCCAUAUUGGAAGGUUUAAUAAUGUACUUGAACACUAAAACUAUAUAAUGGAUGGUUCUAGAUGGGGGCAGGGAUCCUCUAUUUCCUUUACCAAAUGGAGUCGGUCAUAAUCACAUGUUGUCUGACCUUAUCUCUAUGCUCUCUUCACCUUAUUCUUUGCAUCAUUUCACCGGUACAAGUCAUCAGAUGGGUAUUACUGUUUCCAGUAUGUUGUGUGUCGGUGGCCUGAAGCACAAGCUACUCACUAUACUAUAUAGUACUGUGCUACAACUGUGAAUUUUGCAAUCCUGGUAUACCCUAAUUUGAGGUGAUUUAUAUGCCAGGUUAUCCUAAUCUUUAUGUAUCUGAUGCUAAAACCAUCAUGUUUGCUUGCAGAGAUUCAGUUAAGACUUAAAUUAACAAUUAUGUAUCCGAAGACUGACAUUUGAGAUUAGAGGUUUCAUGGCAAUGAUGGAGUGCUACCAAAUUAUGUUCCAAGAAAAAUGAUUUCUGCCUCAACUUGACUACAUGUACGUGACUUGCAGUCAGUAUGAAGUUCAUUACACUACUAAUAUUAAUUUCCUCAUCUCCUUUAUUUAGCUAUUUGUCUAUAGUCAACUCACAUCACUCGACAUCCAGGCCCGGCCCUGAGGGGGGGCAGGGGGGGCGGCCGCCCCGGGCCCCCGGAAUCAGGGGGCCCCCAUUUAUGUAUGUAUGUCAUGUAUAUUACUAGUCGAUUUGGCCCAGCACACAGCCCAAACGGGAGGUCAGCAGGCGGCAAGACACACAGCCCUCUGAUGACGCAUAGAUUAGAUCGUGCCCCGCGGCAGUUGCCCAUCGCCGGCCACGCCGAGAAGCCGAGCCGCAAGGGCUGAUUCAAUGAUUUUUGCCGGCGUCAGCAGACGACAUGCCCCAUGAUUGUUCCGGGAGUACGUCGGCCACGCAGCCGCCGAGACAUCAGACAUCCCUAGUCCGCGCACCUUGCCUUUAUCCUCCUUCAGUACAUGUGGUAAUGCAUCUCUCUUAUUUCCCGUUUCUGAAAAAAGGAACCCAUCUCCAAGGUGCUUCUCGAGACUGUUGUUUCUUGUAUUAGCGAUCUAGUUGGAUGGUACAUUGAAACGACAAAGGAGGAUUUCUUAAGUAUUGUGAUUGUUAGGGUUCAGUUUUGGCACUGAUUGUGUGUAACUGCUCACAACUUUGGAGAUAUGAUUGCAUAACUUUACAUUCUGUAGACAUUGCCAAGGAUCUCUUGAUUCUGAAUAAUGCCCAGAAUCAGACGAACUAUAUGUACAUGAUUUAUCAGUCUCCCAAUUAGUCCAGAAAUUUUCACAUUGUGUUCUGCAAUGACCUCGUUUGUGGGCCACUAUAUAGGAGAUUUACAUCAAUGGAAUUUUUAGAGGCCCAAGUGUAUCACUAAUUGAUUUGAACUUCUAUGUAUAUCAGUAUAUGGCUACUAUUUUAUGGCUGUGAGCCUAUGGCACCACGUCAUUGGAAGUUUUAGAGGCCCAUGUAAAUUGCUAAUUGAUUUGAACUUCUAUGUAUAUAGAGUACAUAUUAUUUUGGUAGCCAAGAAUUAGCUUAUAUAAAUCUUCAUUCUUGUAAUCAAGUUCAUGGUUGUGACACUAUGCAUUUUCAGGCAUUUCAACCGGAUGCAAUUCCAGUAUGUGCACUCAUGUGGGAAAAAAUUUAGUUAUGCACUCUCAAGUUUCAUAUUUCCUAGUAUACAUUGCAUGAUUUUGCUUACCCUCUCUAUAUGGAUCUUUUUUAUAUACUUUUGAUUUUUUUUCAGGAUAGAUUAUUGGUGGAUAGAUCAACUCUUGCACACCUAAUAUAUGGAGUUUUACUUGUGUCCGGCUUCACAAGAGGUGUGUGAAAAUUUAUCUUUCAUCUCAACAUCGCCGCUACAUAUUCCUUGCAGUGAGUAACUUAAGUUUCUCGACAAAUUAAUUAUCAUAUACUACAUAGUUUUUUUUAUCUUAUACAUAGUUGUUAAAUGCAAUUUAAGCAUGCUUAUUAGUAUUUUGAUGGUGUACAAACACGUGGUUACCAUUUUUAGAAAAGGGCCCCGGGUUCUAGUUUCGCCCCGGGCCCCCGAAAUCUCAGGACCGGCCCUGUCGACAUCUACAGGCAUGUUGAAUUGUUGACCCGAUUUGACGGACUAUAUAAGUGCUCUUCUCCUUGGGAAUUUGAAAGCACGCCCCUUCUAAGCAUCGCACAAUAUAUAGGCUUAUAUACGUGGUAGCAGUCAUUUUACAAGCAUGUGUGCAUUAGACCAGAAAAGGGGUAAAUUGCCUUUGAUACUGAUCUGGUACCCCCUAUAAGCGUAUGAUAUUAAAUAGGUUUCUAUUGAUUCAUCAACAGAGAAUUUAUGUCAAUUGAUUUAAUGUCGAU
rnacentral:lncRNA from 1 species